AUGGUGGCAAGCUGCUUUGAUGAUGUAUGGCACGAGUUCGAAAGUCGCAGCAGGAUUGGUCAUGAAUUGGUUUUUUUUCUGAAUUGGUUUCUAUACACUAUUUUGUGCUACUUGACUGCUACAGCUGAUUUUAGUCGUCGUUUUGAGUAUACUUGGCUGCAAUCUGAAUUGUUCAACUAUUCUCUUUUGAACUUGUAUAUUGCAUGGACUGUUGUGACUGUAUGUUUCAAUUGCAAGCUUUUUGAACUGGUUAUAUUUGGAUUUGAAUAA